CUUGGCCUGAAAUCAGAUGGGAUACCCGCUGAACUUAA
rnacentral:rRNA from 1 species